rnacentral:rRNA from 1 species
UACGAAGGGGCUAGCGUUGCUCGGAAUCACUGGGCGUAAAGCGCACGUAGGCGGAUUGUUAAGUCAGGGGUGAAAUCCUGGAGCUCAACUCCAGAACUGCCUUUGAUACUGGCGAUCUCGAGUCCGGGAGAGGUGAGUGGAACUGCGAGUGUAGAGGUGAAAUUCGUAGAUAUUCGCAAGAACACCAGUGGCGAAGGCAGGUCUCUGGGCCACUACUGACGCUGAGAAGCGAAAGCAUGGGGAGCGAACAGG